CCAGAUUACUUGUACCUCCCCAAAUGAAGAUUGUACAUGCACUAUAGUCUUGGACUGGACUAGCCCUGUAUCUCCCCGCCGCACAACUUUUAUCUGACUCAUUAUUCAUUCUUUCAAAUACUAUUCUGAGCAAACCUUCUCUAGUCCUACUAAUCCUCUCUACUAUUUGUUUUUAAGCAAAUUAAUGGCCUUUUUAUACAGCACGGAACCUAUUUUUAUGCACAUAUGUUUCUUCUAGACCAAGAGCUCCUGGAAAUAGACAUUGCUAUUCAUUUCUAUACUCUUAGAAAUUAAAAAUAGCCAGGAUACCUAGAUAAGGGAGAAAAUAUUCAGUCACUUAAUGUGUCAAACCGCUUCAUAAGCUAGGUACCAUCCUAUGUGUUAAUACAUGGAAGAUAAAUUACUUGCUAUCAUGGAGCUCAUACCUUAGUGGGAAUAUUAUUUUUAAAUAUAUUAAAAGCAUGCUUUCAGGUAGUGUGCUAAAUGAAAGCUGGAGCAUGGCAGAGAGGUGGAGAGUGCUGGGAACACUGUAGAUGAAGAGGUGAAGUGACAGAGAAAGUCUCUGAGCAAGUUUCAUUGGAGCAGUGAUCUGAGGGAGCUAAAAAUGGUCAUGUUUGAAACUGUUUCCCUAAGAAAAAGAGAAAACUGUCCUUUUCCCCUUCAACGUCUUCCUUCUUCAUGAUGGCUGGAAUGCAGACUUAGUGUGUAUCAUGGCACCAUGCAGACAUGCCUCCUAUCUAAAGCUGAUGGAGAAGCAAAAUAAAUGAAAACCACGCCCAUGGUGACAUCACAGUCACAAUACCAGCUAGGAGCCUUUAGGAAUCUAUACUUUAAACAGUCUGUUUCAAAAGCACAUCCCAAGCCCAAUGUAGUGACACUACAGAAGGAAAAGCUCUGGCUCAGUGCUCAGAUGGUGAAAGAACCUGACCUGUUCUUGGGGCUUCUGAGGCGG